rnacentral:lncRNA from 1 species
CUCAAAGACUAGUUGAUAAAAUGUUCAUAAGAAAGAAAUGAAAUUCUAAUGGAAAUGUUUCACAAUGAUGUCAUUAGGCAGAGCAGGCAACAGAUGGCACACAGACAGCAGAGUUGGGGACAGAUAUGCAGGGACAGACUGGCAGAGACAGGGAGUCUCAGCCAAGACAAUGCAGGAGUGGCUUCGGGACAAGUCUCUGAAUGUCCUUGAGUGGCCCAGCCAGAGCCUGGACAUGAACCCAUUCAAACAUCUCUAGAGAGACCUGAAAAUAGCUGUGCAGUGACACUCCCCAUCCAACCUGACAGAGCUUGAGAGGAUCUGCAGAGAAGAAUGGGAUAAACUCUCCAAAUACAGGUGUGCCAAGUUAUACCCAAGAAGACUCGAGGCUGUAAUCGCUGCCAGAGGUCCUUCAACAAAGUACUGAGUAAAGGGUCUGAAUGUUUAUGUAAAUGUGAUAUUUCAGUAUAUAUUUUUGUUGUUGUUGCAGAAAUGUCUAAAAACCUGUUUUUGCUUUGUCAUUAUGGGAUAUUGUGUGUAGAUUGAUAAGGGGAAAAACGAUUUAAUCAAUUUUAGAAUAAGGCUGUAAAGUAACAAAAUGUGGAAAAAGUCAAGUGGUCUGAAUACUUUCUGAAUGCACUGUAUGUUAGCUUUCAGUCAACUCAACAGUUAAGUUGAGGCAUUCAUUCCGAGUGGUUAAGGAAAGGGUUAAGGUUUGGAUAGGGUUAAAAUAAAAUGCAAAACGAGCACCUACCACUGGGAUUGAACCCAUGAACCUCAGAGCCAUAGCUUGCGAGCCUAGUAUAUGGUAAUACUUGCUCACGCUGUCCCUAUUGGAUGGUAGGACAUUGCAAUGGAAAUAAUAAUGACACCAGGGUGUUGUAAUGGGGUGCCUGCAGUUCUGCACCCAGGAGUCAUAAUCCAUACGAGAGUGGCCUGUAAGAGCCAUGAGAAAGGCCGCUGAGACAGAGAGCCAAGGAGGGUUGACAUCCUCAGACCAGAACCCGAGGCAGUUUCCUCACCUCUCCAGUCACACACUAUCACUGCUCUCAGUGGCUAAACGGGACCACAGGCAACAACAUGUUUCUGGGUCAGGAGAAUUCUAAAGUUCCCCUUCAAAAAGUAACCAAAGGACAGAAUGCAUUGAGAUGGAGGUGAAUGUUUUAGAGAUGUGAAAGAGACUGUGUCUUAAUUUAAGGUUUCCUGGUUAAAUACAUGUUAAAUCAAAUAAAAGGUUUCUUCUUUGUGA